GAGGGUAAAGCUCAGUGAUAGAGCACAUGCUUAGCAUGCACAAGGUCCUGGAUUCAACCCCUAGUACCCCCA
rnacentral:tRNA from 1 species